CUUCAUUUCAUCCUCACACUGAGAGAGAAGCAAAGGGAGGUAUGCUCACAUCUGUUUUGUAGGAGAGAAACACACGUGUCAAGGGUUCAUAGAGGUGGAGGUAGCGACCCAGCAGAAGACUAAGGAUGAUCUUGGGUUGCUCUGGGCAAGUCACUGAACCUCUCAGUGCUGCAGCAUCACCUGGAAAAUGCAAAGAAGCAACACCUGCCUCUCGGGGCUGUUCUGAGUUAAGGGUAUGCACAGCGCUCAGCACCAAGACAGCGCUGCAGAAGCACCUGCUCUUCGUGAGGAGGCUGUAACGUGUGUGUGCGUGGAGGGGGAAGAAGAGGGCACAACUGGAUGUUUCUACAUGUGGUUGUAGAAAGUCUUUGAGGCUUCCCGAGAGGCCCCGAGGACCAAGGAGGAGGACAAGUGGAACCAGGAGAAGCAAGCUGAAUACAAAACGAGGAUCUUCUGAAUUCAAUCACCCAACUGAUCCCAGUCGAUAAUAAAGCACCUGCCCUCGCAGGGCGGAGUACUUCCUGAAUAAUACAUGCACGAGGUCACCACUGCUGAUGGCAGCGUAAUCCAAUAAGGGGUCUCAGAAGAGGACACAUCAGUGUGCGCUGAGGUUCCGGGGCCUUGAGCAGGCAGGAUUUCCAGGUCAAGGUUCUCCUCAGACCUCUGUCCAAAAACAUGCCUGUAUCCUUCCAAGGAUAAACGUGCACUGAUAAGGUUUAAAAAUUUUUUUUUCUUUUGUCUUUUUGCCUUUUCUAGGGCCGCUCCCACGGCAUAUGUUGAUUCCCAGGCUAGGGGUCUAAUCGGAGCUGUAGCCGCUGGCCUACGCCACAGCCACAGCCACAGCAGAUCUGAGCCGCCUCUGCAACCUACACCAUAGCUCACGGCAACGCCGGAUCCUUAACCCACUGAGCAAGGCCAGGGAUCCAACCCGCUACCUCAUGGUUCCUAGUGGGAUUCAUUAACAUUGCGCCACAAUGGGAGCUCCUUAUUUUCAUUUUUUGCUUUUUAGGGCCAUACCUGAGGCACAUGGAGGUUCCUAGGCCAGGGGUUGAAUCGGAACUCUAGUCACCAGCCUACAUCGCACCAGCCACAGCAAUGCAGGACCUGAGCCAUGUCUGUGACCCACACCACAGCUCACAGCCACGCCAGAUCCUUAACCCACUGAGCAGGGCCAGGGAUCAAACCUGUGUCCUCAUGGAUGCUAGUCAGAAUCGUUUCCGCCAAGCCACGGGGGGGAAUUCUAAGAGUUACUUACUUCAUGGGUUUUCUUAAAUACUCAAAUCCCUCAUGUUACAGAUAUAAAAGACACGUUCAAACCCUCUCAGUUACCCUCACUCAGGUUUAAUAACCUGAAAGAUUUUUUUACAGGAAAGGUGUAAGUUGAUAUGAAAACAGAAAUACGGCUGGAAUGGCUGACCUAUUGACUUGCGUACAUAGUACGGUAAUUGUGGAGGUGAAAAAUCCAGGUUUACCUACACGAUGAAUAUACAUAUGCGUCUUUGCUUUACAAAACUAUUUACCAUAGGAUUCCAAUGAGAAGCCUGUUUUCCCCACGUGUGUGGAAGGGGAUUUAACCUACAAAAAUCCUCCUCCCUCUAACAGUUUUGGGUUUAUACCAAUUGAAUCAUGUGGAAAAUGUCCUUUUUUUGCUCUGGCCUGACUUAUUUCUGAGAAAUCAAGGUGGUGAUAAAAGGAUUAUGAAGGAGGAUGAUUCCUGACAAUGAUUAGAUUCCCAUCUCCCAGAUUAAUAGAGAGGUCGGAAUUGAAUUAGAAACCCCGGAAGAGAAGAGGCCGCAAGGAAAUCUGGUGCCUGCUUGGCUGUAAUGAGUUAUCCACGUGGACCUUACGCAGCAUGGCCAUCAUGAUACAUUUAUACUUAUCAGCAUUUUCAGUCUUUUAAAAUGCUAUCACCCAUUCUCCUCCGGCUUCUCCCACCCAAGGCACAGCCAUUUUCACAGAUGGAUGAAUAAGCCACAGUCUUCUGGUUUUUAACAAACACCGCACAGUCUGCCCCCCAAAUUAAGUCAGACUUGUUGCCACACAGCUGCAGCGACGGGCUGCCAGCGUCUCUGGAGGACAGCGGGACUUCCGACUUGGCAGGACGGGCUGCUGGGUUUGCACAGAGCCUGUCCAGCCCUGAAAUGCCACCACACCCCUGGUACGGCAGUCCCGGCACCCAACAAGAAAACAACACGGCCCUACAGCCUCAUCUGAACAGCGUGAUGGCCGUUGUUCUGGCAACCGCUCUCUUCCCGAGAAGUAAAUCAGGUCCAGAAACGCAGCAGGCCUGGUGCCUGGCACACAGUCGUCUCUCAAUAAAUGGUGGCAAUAGUUACAGCCCAGCGUUGCAUCUGGGACUUUCCUCUAAGUGAUACGUAUAAGGGCCUUCUAGCAAGUUUUCUGGUUUGGGCAGCUGUUAUUCCCUGAGCAACUCGAGGGGCUGAUGCCCCCAUGAUCUCUGAUCUGGGGGCUCACCCACAGGUGAGGAAUCAGACUCAGAAAGAAAGGGACCUCAGAAUUCCUGCUGUGGCUCAGCAGAAAUGAACCCAACUUGUGAUCCACAAGGCUUCGGGUUUGAUCCCUGACUCUGCUCAGUGGGUUAAGGACCCAGCAUUGAGUGAGCUGUGGCAUAGGUUGCAGAUGUGGCUUGGAUCUGGUGUUGCUGUGGCUGUAGCGUAGGCAGGCAGCUGGAGCUCCAGUUCAACCCCUAGCCUGGGAACUUCCAUGCGCUGCACCUCAAAUAAUAAUAAUAAAUUAAAAAAAUAAAAACUAAAAAGAAACUUUUUUUAAAAUGAAAGAAAGAAAGGAACCUGUUGUGUCAGAAGUAAGAUUUAGACCUGGGUCAGCCCAACUUUAUCCUCUCUCUUUUCAGAGCCUGGGAGGGGCUCAGAUCUGGUAGAAAUAAAGACAAAGGAGGGGCUGGAGACAUUUCUGCAACAAAGCGAAUGCGGAUGCCUAGUGAGACUGUGGGCAUCUUCCAGUUACACCCUCAACAACUAUAGCAUCUACGGGACCCGCCCCCACCACCUCCCCAUUGGACUUUUGUCCCCCACCAGCCUUGAUAGAUUACAAGUUCCCACAACAGGGACUGUUUCUUCCUCUCGGCUUUGUUUGGAGCAUUGUUCUAGCAAGGCUCAAAUAAGGGGCCAUUAUUAAUAGUGAUAAUAAUGCAACGCUCUUUUCUCAAGGGCCUGACAGACCAACAGCAUGCUGCUUCCUGCCGCCUCUCGCUGGCGGUUUUCACCUACGAACCCUCAGCUGCCCGGGCAACAGCACCCAGCAUGCCCUCUACAUCAUGCUGCCUGAAUGCCAUCUCAUCAGAUUCUCCAGGGCCCCGAACACUGGGCGGAGGCCCGGCAGAGGACGGACGAGACAGCCACGGGAGACACAGCAGGCCAAGGAGAUAAUGGGCCCCAGGUUUGUUUUGAACUGAGCUCACUUUGCAGCCCAAGGCCUAGAGCCACACAGCUCUGGAACGGGGUCAGCUUCAGGAAUGCUCCGGGGAGCUCUGGUUUUCAUUAGACACUUUGGGCCCGUGGAAGCUGGGACCAGUUAAGGGUUCAUCUCUUGAGAAAGGCUGCUAGUCGUGAUGGAGUGACUCAGAGGGAGCCCCUGUGUGUUGGGGCUCAAGCAUGGGGCCCCAUGUGCAUGUGUUUCCAUGAGAGCUGGGCUCAUCCUUGGGGUUCGGGCUAGACAUUCAUUCAAGGCUCAGUGGAGGAAAUAAGAAGCUUUAAUGGCCACGAAAGCAAAGGGCAGGGUGGGGCCGGGUUUAAACAAAAGCUCUUUUGCAGGUUCUCAGAUUUUAAUUAGCAUGCCCCUGGGGACAGAGAACUCACUUGUACCCCCGGGGUUACAGACAUAAGGCCUGCUCAGGUGUUACUGCUACUGUCCCCUGGGAAGGGCCCAGGUAAGCAAAGUUAAUCUGGGUCAGAAGCGCUUGGCUCUUCCCUGAGGGUCUCAUCUGUGCGGCUGGCCUGUUCUCGGAGAGGCUGGAAAGGCAGGAGGACAUACGCGCCUUCGGGGACUCACAUUCCGCUCAUUCCCCAGGAGGUCACGAGCUCCCGCUGUGGACAGAGUUCAACUCCAGAGCCAGUGUGGAAACAAAGAUGCAUGAGCCUACAUCUGGAACCCUCUUUGAGUCCAAAGAGCAAGAUCACGCAUCUGCCGCGCACAACACACAUGGCCGCCACCCUGCUACACCCCAGCCUCCUGCUGACGUCUGUGCGGGAGGCUGUGAUCUGGGGGCAGGACUGUGAAACCACCUUGGUAAGGCUGGUGUGGGGGUGUUGUGGGCCCGGGCAGCUCUCCUUUCCAUACUGCCGUCUUUAUGGGGUCUGCUGGUUGAUGGGCUUUGCUCUCUAAGAUCAGCCGUCUAUUAGAGAAAGCCUCCCAGCGUCUUCUCUGAGGGAAGGUCCUGAUCAGGCUUCUCCAGCAGGACCAGAAGGGAGGGAGUCCCAGCUCCAUCAGGCCACCAGAUCUUUGAGCAGCAGCUUGGAGGGAGCAUAGGGCCCAAGGUGGGGGGGCCUAAUCUAGGCUGGGAUUCUAAUCUAGACUCCCCCUCCUCAGCUCUCUCAGUCCUGACCUCUUCCUCUGCUGCCCGUGUGAUCAAGAGCACAUGGUGACACUGGGACAUGGCUCCUUCUCUGGGACUGUGGACAGGGAAGAGGCACAACCACUUCUACAAUAGGCAAGGGAAGCAAGAAUGGACUGAGGCCCUUGGAAAUCGAUUAAUGGCCCAAAUCCAUGGGAAUUUGCCCACUACUCCAAGAGCUUUCAAACUGGCUCAGGAAAUCUGAUUUUGUUUGACUUUUUUGCCACCAACAUUUACCUGAAUUGGUUGGUGGCUCUGUUUCUUUCUUUCAGUUUUACUCCUUAAAGCUGAACAAAGAAACCCAAAUAGAGAUUCAAAGCCAAGAGUUGCUGCAAUGCUCUCCCAAAAUAGGAGCAGUGAGGGCUGUCAUGGACUGGCCAUUCUUCAGUCCCUGCGGACACUGAACUAUUCCAAGUAUGUCCCAGGGUACCAUCCUGGGUGGGGUGAUGCUUAGGCAGGACUGGUACUGUAGGGUACUGACUGGAAGGCCCUGGACCAGACCCUUCCCAUCUGGCCCAUCCUCAGAAUAAGGGUCUUGGCUUCACUUGCCUUUGAAUCCUCUUCUAGCCUGCAGAUAUCACAACCCCUCCACCCUUCCAUGUCCUUGGUCACCAAAGGGGGGUUUUAAUGCAGCACGACGGGCCAGGCAAGAGGCAAUGAGCAUCACAGACCCAGUUCCUCCCUGAUGGAACCUCCCCCCCAAGUCCUCGUCCUUCCUGAUGAUUCAUGAGCUUCAUUUAUUUUUUAUUUUAUUAUUUAUUUAGUCAUUUUGCCUUUUCUGGGGCCGCUCCCGCGGCAUAUGGAGGUUGCCAGGCUAGGGGUCAAAUCGGAGCUGUAGCUGCUGACUUACACCAGAGCCACAGCAACACAGGAUCAGACCCACGUCUGCGACCUACAACACAGCUCAUGGCAACGCCGGAUCCUUAACCCACUGAGCAAGGCCAGGAAUCGAACCCGAAACCUCAUGGUUUCUAGUCGGAUUCGUUAACCACUGAGCCAUGACAGCAACUCUGGGCUUCAUUUAAGAAUAAGGGAAAGGGCUGCCUGAUCCGUUCCCCCCAAAACAGACGCAGGGGUGAAAGAGAACAGAAACAAAGGCAGCGAGUUUCUGAGGCAAGCCUUUCAUACUCGCCUGCCAUCCUCCACUCCAGCUGAGUGAGAAGACAGAGGGAGAGGCUGGACCUGCAGUUCUGUGGCAUCCACAAAGCAGCAGGUGUGUCCCUCUGAUGGCUCAGGGUCGCCAUGGCCAUACAAGAGAUGAUGCCCUUAAAACCCAGACAUAGCCCCCAGGGGUCCCUUAUUCCAGCAACUCUAAGCAGACUUAUCACCAGAAGAAAAACGCCCUUUUAUUUUAUUUUGCAUUUUAGGGCCACACCCUCAGCAUAUGGAGGUUCCUAGGCGAGGGGUCAAACUGGAGCUGUAGCUGUGGGCCUACACCACAGUCACAGUAACACCAGAUUUGAGCUGCGUCUGUGAUCUACACCACAGCUUAUGGCAAUGCUGGAUCCUUAACCUGCUGAGCAGGGCCAGGGAUUGAACCUGCAUCCUCACGCAUACUAGUCAGAUUCAUUUCCACUGAGCCAUGGCAGGAACUCCUUAUUUUAUUUUUUUGCUUUUUAGGGCCACACCCACAGCAUAUGGAGGUUCCCAGGCUAGGAGUCCAAUUGGAAGUAUAGCUGCUGGCCUGCGCCAGAGCCACAGCAAUGCAGGAUCCGAGCUAUGUCUGCGACCUACAGCACAGCUCACAGCAAUGCCAGAUCCUUAACCCACUGAAGGAGGCCAGGGAU
rnacentral:lncRNA from 1 species